CAAGAUUAUAUCUGGCACUGCAUUGAUCUCUUCUUAGAUUUCAUUACUGUCUUCAGAAAACUCAUGAUGAUCCUGGCCAUGAAUGAAAAGGUUAAAGAAAGAGAAGAAAUGAAGUGACCAUCCAGCCUUUCCCAAUUAGACUUCCUCUCCUUCCACCCCUCAUUUCCUUUUUGCACACAUUACAGGUGGUGUGUUCUGUGAUAAUGAAAAGCAUCAGAAAAGCUUUUGUACUUUGUGGUUUCCUCUAUUUUGAAUUUUUUGAUCAAAAAACUGAUUAGCAGAAUAUAGUUUGGAGUUUGGCUUCAUCUUCCUGGGGUUCCCCUCACUCCCUUUUUUGUCAACCCCAUCUGUAGCCUCUUCCUCUACUCAGGCAGUCGACCCGCCACGAUGAGAAGUGGGACCAGCAGAGGGCGCCAACUUCAGGAGUCCGCUUUCCCACCAGGCUUCAUUCACCCAGUGGACCUGAACUGUUUGGUAGAGCCACCCGGCCCUUCCUUCCUCAUUGUUGUUUGGUAUGCGCACAGUUCCUGUGGGACUGGGCCGUGAGUUUUCCAUUGGAAAGAAGUUCAGUGGUCCCAUUGUUAACUCAGCCUCAAAUCUCAACUGUCAGGCCCUACAAAGAAAAUGGAGAGCCUCUUCUGGUGGAUGCUUUGCUCCCUCUGAGCUGCCCAUGCUGGUCUGGCAAACACACCUUUCUGCUUUGCCUUCACAAAAGUAAUGUGUUCCCUUUCCCACCCCUUGCCUGACCCUCAGGGAGUCAGCCUGCUUCCAUCCAUGGGUGGGAAGACUUCAGCACAAAGGAAAGACUAAUUCUUGUCAGGCAUUUUUGAAAAGGCUGAUUAUGUGUAUCAAGGUACAGCAUCGUAGGGUUCCCCUAAACUUGCCCUGUUUUUGUUUUUUUAGUUUGUUAUCCCCUUACUGAGCGGCCUCUACUAGGUGGCUGUGAUUAAAUGUCCCAAGCAAGGAUAGGGAAGGGGAAUGGUUGAGCCUCUGGAGAUCAUUGUAACCAAUCCUGCCAGACCUGUUUGGGGCAGUGGGGAGCAAACCUAGAUAAGGACCUGUUUGGGGCAGCAGGGAGCAAAAUCUCCUUUAACAACCAAGCAGUUCCUCAUUCACAUCAACAGAGCGAGGCUGUGAUAACUUAGGAGGCAGCAAUCCUAAUAGUCCUUCAGUGCAUUUUAGUCUGUCUCCAACUGGACACCAGUAGGUAGUGUCAAGCCAGAGAUUCGGGGCAGUAGAUAAAUGUUCAUUUUACUGAUGCACUUUAGUUUUUGGUCUGUUACCUGUUUUCCAGAAAUUUGUGGCCUUUUAGGCGGGAGUUAGGCGACCAAACCAGUGAGAGCCCCAAUCCCUGCAGUUUUGUGGCUUCAAGUGUGGGUGGACAGUCCUAAUGGGGAUCUCCAGCUCCUUCCUGUGGGCUGCCACAGACAGCUACCCCCAGAAGGGUCAAUGUUGGGAGUGGUUGUGGCUCUGAGCUGCUCUACAGAGCUUCAGUGUGAGAGGAUCGAGCCAUUGAAAGCUCAUUACCAGUAGGACAUAAUUUUUGGCUCUCCCUAUUCACAACCAGUGCACAGUUUGACACAGUGGCCUCAGGUUCACAGUGCACCAUGUCACUGUGCUAUCCUACGAAAUCAUUUGUUUCUAAGUUGUGUUUAUUCCUGGAGUGACAUGCCACCCCGAAUGGCUCACUUUCACUGAGGAUGCUGUCCUCUGAUUUAGCUGCUGCCUCCAGCCUCUGGCUUGAGAACUUACUAAAGGCACUUCCUUCCUGUUAAACCCCUGUUAACUCUCCAUAAAUUUGGUGAUUCUCUGCUAGGCCUAAGAUUUUGAGUUAACAUCUCUUGAAGCCAAACUCCACCUUCUGUGCUUUUUGCUUGGGAUAAUGGAGUUUUUCUUUAGAAACAGUGC
rnacentral:lncRNA from 1 species